rnacentral:lncRNA from 1 species
GAAAACCAUCAGUCAUGUUUGUCACUUCAUCAAUAAAGGCGGGAAUGUAGCUCACGCGCGCCACUGCCAAUACCCUGUCGAUAUUGAUGAGCUCCAGGUGGUCAAGCAUCUCGUGACAACCGAAUGAGUGGCGCGCAGUUACAUCCAACAGAUGACACGUAUGGUGUCGCAUUUCAGGAGUUUUCGAUACCCCAACAUUUGCUUGUAGAGUGUAACUAAAAUACACAGUUCAUUAUUCAAGAGUCUGAUUUUGUAGGAUACGUUUUUCUAUCAAUGUGUCAUUCCAGAAACAUAGAAAGUCACCUCAACUGCGACGGAAAAUAGUAGACGUGUCCUGUCCCUAAAGUUAGAUAUGGAAGAUGGCUUCGUGAUUUGAAACACGGAUGAAAACGGUACACCACUGGCCUCCAGAUAAUAGCCUAAUACAGUGCAGGGUCAGAGGGUGGACACAGGAGGACAAACCCACCCCUGAGAGUCCUAUAGAGUAAGAGCCACCAGAAGCCCACCCCUAACCCAGCCCAGAGGAGGUCACGUUGUGUCACCACAGCAAAGUCCUCUGGGUAAAUAACCCCUCAAGUCUCAGUGCCUCACCGCUGCCACCACCUGAGGGGCGAGAGAGAGACGGCCCCACAGGACAACGAGCUGGAACUCAAAACAACUGGCAGUGGUUUGGAACAAAAUAAGACUAUUUGGCCAAAAUCUUGAUUUCUUUUUCAGUUACCUUUUGAAGUGAACAAAAUGGUUUGCUUUUUAGAUAAUGUAAUGGAACAAUUUGUGUUGUGCUCAUUCAAGGCCA